rnacentral:lncRNA from 1 species
GCAGAGCAGAGUUUAGAGUCAAAAGGUCUGAUGUGAUCCAGAGACUUAUGUGGAAUGAAGAAAAGAAGAAAGGGAGGUGGAAGGAAGGAAGGAAGAAAAGAAGUUCUUUCUUUGGAGGCGGACACACAUUCUUCAAACAAUAUCUCUGUUGCUGUAUAUAAUGAUCGUUUGGUUCUGCUCAUUUUACUCUUCAUAAUUUCAUAGUGGGCAACUGAAGUCCAGAAGAAGUUAAACGACUUAAUGAAGUCAGAGAGCCAGUUUAAGGCAGACAAGGAACUACGAAGUCAGGUCAUCUGUGGGUUUUCCAUGACACGCCAUAUUGGUAUUUACAUAUUAUCAUCUUGUGACAUUCUGCCCACUCAGCUUGGGCCAGUUUGGUAGGUUUGGGAUUACCUGAUUCCCUGGAACCUGGCAGGUCUUUGAAUUGCUCUAUGGCAAGUUAAAAUGGUGAAUGUAAUGGGUACUAGCUGAGGUCCUUGAAUCAGUGAAUAAAUGAUGCUCUGAUUAUGUGCUGGGCA